rnacentral:rRNA from 1 species
UACGUAGGUGGCGAGCGUUGUCCGGAUUUACUGGGCGUAAAGAGCGCGCAGGCGGUCGUACAAGUCGCGUGUGAAAGCCCCUGGCUCAACUGGGGAGGGUCACGCGAUACUGUUCGACUCGAAGGCAGGAGAGGGAAGUGGAAUUCCCGGUGUAGUGGUGAAAUGCGUAGAUAUCCAGCGGAACACCAGUGGCGAAGGCGGCCUACUGGGCUCCACCUGACACUGAGGCGCGAAAGCGUGGGGAGCGAACCGG